rnacentral:tRNA from 1 species
UGAAUUAUAGAUUAAUUGGUAGAUCAAUUACAUUUGAGGUAAUAAGAUACAUGUUCGAAUCAUGUUAAUUCAG